rnacentral:rRNA from 1 species
GGGUUGUGAGGUUAAGCGACUAAGCGUACACGGUGGAUGCCCUGGCAGUCAGAGGCGAUGAAGGACGUGCUAAUCUGCGAUAAGCGUCGGUAAGGUGAUAUGAACCGUUAUAACCGGCGAUUUCCGAAUGGGGAAACCCAGUGUGAUUCGUCACACUAUCAUUAACUGAAUCCAUA